AUUGAACGCUGGCGGCAGGCCUAACACAUGCAAGUCGAGCGAGCGGAGGACGGGUGAGUAAUGUCUGGGAAACUGCCUGAUGGAGGGGGAUAACUACUGGAAACGGUAGCUAAUACCGCAUACCAUCAGAUGUGCCCAGAUGGGAGUAGCUAGUAGGUGGGGUAAAGGCCUACCAAGGCGACGAUCCGUAACUGGUCUGAGAGGAUGAUCAGGCACACUGGAAACGAGACACGGUCCAGACUACUACGGAAGGCAGCAGGGGUGAAGAUUGGACAAUGGGCGAAAGCCUGAUCCAGCCAUGCCGCGUGUGUGAAGAAGGUCUUCGGAUUGUAAAGCACUUUAAGUUGGGAGGCGUUACCAACAGAAUAAGCACCGGCUAACUUCGUGCCAGCAGCCGCGGUAAUAC
rnacentral:rRNA from 1 species